rnacentral:rRNA from 1 species
AUUGAACGCUGGCGGCAUGCUUUACACAUGCAAGUCGAACGCGAAAGGGGGCAACCCUGAGUAGAGUGGCGCACGGGUGAGUAAUACAUCGGAACGUGUCCUGUAAUGGGGGAUAACGCAGCGAAAGCUGUGCUAAUACCGCAUACGUCCUACGGGAGAAAGCGGGGGAUCGCAAGACCUCGCGUUAUAGGAGCGGCCGAUGCCGGAUUAGCUAGUUGGUGGGGUAAAGGCCUACCAAGGCAACGAUCCGUAGCUGGUCUGAGAGGAUGAUCAGCCACACUUGGGACUGAGACACGGCCCAGACUCCUACGGGAGGCAGCAGUGGGGAAUUUUGGACAAUGGGCGCAAGCCUGAUCCAGCCAUGCCGCGUGAGUGAAGAAGGCCUCGGUUGUAAGCUCUUCGUCCGGGACG